rnacentral:piRNA from 1 species
UAGGAGAAUCCAUUACCAAAUAAAUA